rnacentral:rRNA from 1 species
UGGGGAAUUUUGGACAAUGGGCGCAAGCCUGAUCCAGCAAUGCCGCGUGUGUGAAGAAGGCCUUCGGGUUGUAAAGCACUUUUGUCCGGAAAGAAAUCCGUCUGGCUAAUACCCGGACGGGAUGACGGUACCGGAAGAAUAAGCACCGGCUAACUACGUGCCAGCAGCCGCGGUAAUACGUAGGGUGCGAGCGUUAAUCGGAAUUACUGGGCGUAAAGCGUGCGCAGGCGGCUUUGUAAGACAGAUGCGAAAUCCCCGGGCUCAACCUGGGAACUGCAUUUGUGACUGCAAGGCUAGAGUGCGUCAGAGGGAGGUGGAAUUCCGCGUGUAGCAGUGAAAUGCGUAGAGAUGCGGAGGAACACCGAUGGCGAAGGCAGCCUCCUGGGAUGACACUGACGCUCAUGCACGAAAGCGUGGGGAGCAAACA